AUUGAACGCUGGCGGCAGGCCUAACACAUGCAAGUCGAGCGGAGCGGCGGACGGGUGAGUAAUGCCUAGGCAUCUGCCUGGUAGUGGGGGAUAACGUCCGGAAACGGGCGCUAAUACCGCAUACUAUCAGAUGAGCCUAGGUCGGUUUAGCUAGUUGGUGGAGUAACGUACUACCAAGGAGACGAACCGUAUCUGGUCUGGGAGGAGGAUCAGUCAGACUGGAACUGAGACACGGUGCAGACUCCUACGUGAGGCAGCAGUGGGGAAUAUUGGACAAUGGGCGAAAGCCUGAUCCAGCCAGGCCGCGUGUGUGAAGAAGGUCUUCGGAUUGUAAAGCACUUUAAGUUGGGAGGCGUUACCAACAGAAUAAGCACCGGCUAACUUCGUGCCAGCAGCCGCGGUAAUAC
rnacentral:rRNA from 1 species